UGGGGAAUUUUGGACAAUGGGGGCAACCCUGAUCCAGCAAUGCCGCGUGUGUGAAGAAGGCCUUCGGGUUGUAAAGCACUUUUGUCCGGAAAGAAAUGGCUCUGGUUAAUACCCGGGGUCGAUGACGGUACCGGAAGAAUAAGCACCGGCUAACUACGUGCCAGCAGCCGCGGUAAUACGUAGGGUGCGAGCGUUAAUCGGAAUUACUGGGCGUAAAGCGUGCGCAGGCGGUUUUGUAAGACAGGCGUGAAAUCCCCGGGCUCAACCUGGGAAUUGCGCUUGUGACUGCAAGGCUAGAGUACGUCAGAGGGGGGUAGAAUUCCACGUGUAGCAGUGAAAUGCGUAGAGAUGUGGAGGAAUACCGAUGGCGAAGGCAGCCCCCUGGGACGUGACUGACGCUCAUGCACGAAAGCGUGGGGAGCAAACA
rnacentral:rRNA from 1 species